CCUACGGGUGGCAGCAGUGAGGAAUAUUGGUCAAUGGACGAGAGUCUGAACCAGCCAAGUAGCGUGAAGGAUGACUGCCCUAUGGGUUGUAAACUUCUUUUAUAUGGGAAUAAAAUGUUCCACGUGUGGGAUUUUGUAUGUACCAUAUGAAUAAGGAUCGGCUAACUCCGUGCCAGCAGCCGCGGUAAUACGGAGGAUCCGAGCGUUAUCCGGAUUUAUUGGGUUUAAAGGGAGCGUAGGUGGAUUGUUAAGUCAGUUGUGAAAGUUUGCGGCUCAACCGUAAAAGUGCAGUUGAAACUGGCAGUCUUGAGUACAGUUGAGGUAGGCGGAAUGCGUGGUGUAGCGGUGAAAUGCUUAGAUAUCACGAAGAACUCCGAUUGCGAAGGCAGUUCACUGGACUGCAACUGACACUGAGGCUCGAAAGUGUGGGUAUCAAACAGGAUUAGAUACCCCAGUAGUC
rnacentral:rRNA from 1 species